UACGUAGGGGGCAAGCGUUGUCCGGAUUUAUUGGGCGUAAAGAGCGUGUAGGCGGCUAGAUAGGUCCGUUGUGAAAACUCGAGGCUCAACCUCGAGACGUCGAUGGAAACCAUCUGGCUAGAGUCCGGAAGAGGAGAGUGGAAUUCCUGGUGUAGCGGUGAAAUGCGCAGAUAUCAGGAAGAACACCCGUGGCGAAGGCGGCUCUCUGGUACGUGACUGACGCUGAGACGCGAAAGCGUGGGUAGCAAACAGG
rnacentral:rRNA from 1 species